rnacentral:rRNA from 1 species
CUGUUGCCUCGGCGGGAUCUCUGCCCCGGGUGCGUCGCAGCCCCGGACCAAGGCGCCCGCCGGAGGACCAACCUAAAACUCUUAUUGUAUACCCCCUCGCGGGUUUUUUUUAUAAUCUGAGCCUUCUCGGCGCCUCUCGUAGGCGUUUCGAAAAUGAAUCAAAACUUUCAACAACGGAUCUCUUGGUUCUGGCAUCGAUGAAGAACGCAGCGAAAUGCGAUAAGUAAUGUGAAUUGCAGAAUUCAGUGAAUCAUCGAAUCUUUGAACGCACAUUGCGCCCGCCAGUAUUCUGGCGGGCAUGCCUGUCCGAGCGUCAUUUCAACCCUCGAACCCCUCCGGGGGGUCGGCGUUGGGGAUCGGCCCUCCCUUAGCGGGUGGCCGUCUCCGAAAUACAGUGGCGGUCUCGCCGCAGCCUCUCCUGCGCAGUAGUUUGCACACUCGCAUCGGGAGCGCGGCGCGUCCACAGCCGUUAAACACCCAACUUCUGAAAUGUUGACCUCGGAUCAGGUAGGAAUACCCGCUGAACUU